ensembl:lncRNA
UGAAAAAUCAAUGAUAUUUUGUAUUUCUUUCUUUGUGUUUUUGGGUCAGCAGUGUACUGAGGCGUGGGAUCGCUCAUAUGAGUUGCAUGUGUUCUAGCCUUAGCAAAAACCAUACAUAAAUAUAUAUAAAUUUCAGUUCUGCAGAUAAGAUAGAGUGUCAUAUGGCUAUGAGGUCUACAGUACAAAAGAGAAAUCCUGAAUCUGAAACUGUGGCGAGCUAUGUUCAUCUUCCCUUGCAGCUUAAGCUGCAGAAUUGCUCCCAGUUUAAACUUAUUUCUUUUCUUAGCCUACUAAUAUGUAGAAGGAGCUGAGUUACCCUCCGGCUGAGCAGAGAUGGUGUUUUCAUCCUAUAGCAUUCACUGUGCAUUUGCAAUGAGAUUUUCACCCCACAGCUUCAUUUCUAUCUAGGAGGGCUCUUGGGUUGCAAAUGGGGAUGCUGUGGCCAAAACUGAAGCUGAAGCAUGGGCACCUCAGCACAUCUCCACCAAGUCUCAAAACACAGGCCAUUAGCACUUUAUGUUGCCAGAGGCUUCAGUGGGAGUGCAGAACACAAGUUGCCCCUCCAAUGACUUGCUUACAUGGAGUUUGCCUGAUAGGCACUGAGAGCCAAAUGAGAUGAGUCCCACUUGUCACAUAUAUGACCCACUGGAGCCAGAAUCCUGCUUUCACAUUUUCAAGGAGCUCAAGUGAGCAGUAUUUAUACUAAGAAUUUAUGGAUAUAUAACUUAACAACCGAGACAUUGUUACUCUGCUUAUUCAACUACACUUGGAGCUAACAGAAGACCUUCUCUCCAACGCAUCUUUCUGUUGAGCUUAGAUCUGAAGACAUUGAAAAUAAUUGCAUUAAACUUGAUGAAAAUUUUUGCAAAAUUAAUACCUGAAGCUGAUUCUUCUUGUCAACAGUACCUAAGAAGCUCUGAGAUGUCCACGAUGGACCUACAAGUAAUUUGUCUAAAUGGCAUCUGUGUUACACACUGAAAGAGUAAUAAGGAAACAAAUAAAGACCAAUCAACCGACCUAAUAACCCACAUCUCCUGCUCUGCCAGCAUUGUAGAUCCUGACAGUGUUUGCCUAAAACAACAUUCCCAGCUGCAGUCAGCCACAUGCACACAGAAAUGUUAGCUACUUGCUGCAGAAAGUGUUAUGAAUAUCGUUAAUGGAAAUUGCAUGGUGUUGGUAGCAGGCUAGAACUCAGACAACCUUUAGGAAGUAGCUGAGAGAAGAAAUCAAAGCUGUUGAACAAACAUUAAUAUUUCCUUCAGUUGUGUGAGACUCCUGUGAAGAUUUACAUAAUUAAUCUUCAGCAACAAAACAUUUAUAAUGCCGUUUAAUAAUCUGGGUGAUAGACAGGUCAUGUUAAUUACCAUCUUUCUUCCUGGUUUUAAAAGCCACUGUUCUCGAGCUCUUAGCUCAGAAGUGACUGGCUUGUAUCAGCUUGAAGUCAGAGCAGGUCUGCAGAUGAUUAAUGCCUGAAUGCCUGACACCAGCCAAGGAUCUGCGGGACACGUCCGAGCCCUUGCCCUGCCACAGGCUUUGAGUGCAUCUGGGAGCAAGUGGUCUUGGACACACUUCUACAUUGCUGAUAUCCCAGCAGCUGAUAGCCCAGCAACUGCUAUUUGAGAUCCCAGUUGCAGGUCUCUGUCUGAGAGAUCUGUUGUUGUUAAAUCCUAUUGUGUCGUCAUCUGCUGAAGAGGUGCCAGCUUCUUGUGGGAGGAGGGCAGGUGGAAGCGAACAGCUUGAGUGGCACUUCUGGUCAUCACCAAGAACCUGUUGCCUAACUAUUAUGAAGGCUUUUCUGGCUCUCCUGUACAAGGUCAGAGUAGAGGAAGGGUUUUAAGGACAGCGCUAUGGUGGGUUUUACACCUGUUAGGUGAGGUGCUCCAUGUACUACCAUGGGGGAGAACAUGGUAGAAAAGAAAAAGAGAUUCAAGGGAGCAGCAGUGACUGAGGUAAAUGGGAGACAGAAAUUGCCUUUUCAGUGCUGAAAAGAAGAUGAUUAGCUGUUAGGAGGAAUAUCUUUACUCAGAGGGUGGUGGGGCACUGGAGCAGAGAGGUUUCGGGUAGCCCAUCCAUGGAGGCAUUAAGGGCCAGGUUGGAUAAAGCCCUGGGCAGCCUGAUCUGUUGAAUGGCAGCCCUGCCCAUGGCAGGCUGUGGAACUGGAUGGACUUUAAGGUCCCUUCCAAACCAAGCCAUUCUGUGAUUCAUUCUAUGAUAGCACAGGGACAAGAAGCCUUCACACCAAAGAGAAGGAGCAGCUAGUGGAGGUAUAAACUUGAGAGCUGACAGUCUAUGAGAGCAAUCUCCAUAGUGGUGCUAUAGAGGAAUGCUGGCAAGGCAAGGCUCUGGUAGUGGUAAAGGAAAGGAUGCUGUGAUAACCAAGACCCCAGAUAAUGAGUGCCUGGUUGAGAGUUUUAGUUGUGUAACUGGAUAAGCAGGCCUGGAUUCUACUUUAGCUUGAAGAAAAGAUGAAUCUGUAAGGUAUAGGCUAAAUGUGAGAAGUUCACACUCAGACUGAGAACUUGAUGUGGGAAAAUAGUGUUAUCCAACUGCUUGAGAAAGAGCUGUCAGGAAGAACUGGGCUUUGACAGGAAGAGCUGUGCUGCAGUCAGGCACAGCUGGCUGACCUCUAAUGAGCUGCUAACCAAGCAGGUAUUGCAGUUUGGGCAGGAAGAGACCUUUCCUAUGAGAGCGAAUCCAUCAGUAAAGGAAAGAGCCAGCCAGGCAGUGGUGCUGGUAAACUAAAUUUCCAAAAAUUAAAGGGUGGAAGGAAAGGGGAGGGCAAAUCCAUGGAAGCAAAGAGAAGGAGCAGGUCUGGUGGUAAUGCAUGGGGCUGGAGAGCUAGGAGGGCUGGAAUGCGGAUGUGGCUGCCCACAGGGCUGGGAGGAAGCCAAAGAGGCAGGCUGGAGGUCAGGAUGGUUUCCUAAGGUGUGAACUACUGCCUUUGAGGAAAGGGCCACAGGGCAGAAGGUAUGGAAUAAACCAGGAAAAUAGAACUUUAAGCUAAUUCAUCUGAUAAGCUAUUAUAUAUGAGAAUAUUUGUGCUCUUUUACUCUCUUAAUGUGGUAUUCAUCAGUUACUAGGCAUGUGUGAGCCAAAUUGGUGGGUCAAGAAGUCCCUUAAAACAAUCGCUGUCUCGAGAGACUAGAAGAUAAAAGCAGUUUCUAGGAGUGUCUUCUCCUUCCAGGUUUUUCAACUUGGGCUUUUUAGGUAAGAAAGGGUGACUGAGCUUCUGUGAGUCAAAAUGUGUUUGGUCUCCUUACCCUAGUAAUCCUGCAAAAUGCAUACUGUAGGAAUGCUUGUAUGCCUUUGUAUCCUGUGCUAUCUUGGUGCCUGCAUCAGCACAGUCAGAAAAGCAGAAUUUCACCCUACAAGAACUGGUAUCCUGGCAUCAGACUGUGCAUUGUAUAAUGCUUUUGGGAGAAGGUUUUAGUGCACUCAUUUGAUGCUCUGGUGCCUGAAGUGGGUGGAAAAAAAAAAAAGAAAAAAGAAAGAAGAAAUCAAAUAGGGAUCUUGAUAAAUAGAAUUUCAGAUCUUGCAUAAUAUCAGUCAAUGGCAACAGCAGGUGUUUGAUAGUACUGUGAACUUCCUUGGAAUGGGAUCCUGCCAACAUGGCUGUGAUUCAGUGCAAUGAUUCAGUGACUGCAGGACGGUAUCCUGCCAACCAGCCUUCCAGCAGAAAAUUGAUCACCCCACUGCAAACACUGCCAGUCCAUUAGCAUUUCAAAUUUUGUCUAUCUGCAUGGCAGUAGAAACCGUGCAUCUCCUCCAGGUAAUGGAAGGAGGGAGAAAAAUUCCCUUUUCUCCCAGGAAAGGAUGAAAUUAUCAGCUGCAGUGUUAUCUCAAAGAGGAACAUGGAACAUGUUUUCUCUGAGGAGUUUAAAGAAAUAGUUUCCUUUCACUACCCAAGCUCUGCUUUUCCUUCCAUCUCCAACCAGGAACCUUAUGAAGACAAGAGAGUCCCAUCAGCUUUCACUUAUGCCUUACAAACUGUGCAGAGAUACUACCAACAUCCUGAGUUGAGCAAGGAAACUCACAGAGCUGUUGUUUGCAUUCUCCUUUACAGAUAUUUUUUGACUGCUUCCUUGCACAUGGGCAAGCACUGCUGUACUCCCUGCUGUCCGCCCAGUGCCUCCACAGAGCCCUCCGAGCUCUGCAAUAUGGAUGCGUGCAUACAAGGCCCCACUAGAGACAGCCCUCACCUUGAAAAACUGCAUCUCUGGAGUGAAAGGAAGGAAGAAAAUAAGACUGAAGGCAAUAGAGUUACACUGAAGAUGGCUUUGGCCCAAGGGUUUAUGCAAAACAGAUUUGUGAUGUUGCAAAUUUGUAUUUUUCCUUUCUGUUUCAAAAUGGGAAAGAGCAGAAACAGUUGAUACUGUCAUGAAAUUUCAAGACUGAAACACAAAGUAUUGGAAACUUGAGUGUCCUUAAUAGUGCUAAUCCAAGCCUGCUGGACCUGUGGACCAUUUUUGCAAUCAAAUGCUUAAGAAAUGCAGUGCAGUGAACUGAAUACUAUAAUUCUAACAGGAAAUUUCUCACUAAAAUCAGUGAGAAUUUUGUCUAUGUGAGGCUUACAAGAUUGGUUAGUACUUGAAGAACAACUUUUCUUCUUCCAUAAAGAUCCUCGCUGAUGGGUUCCUAUACUUCACCAGCUUCUCUUCUUUUCCUCUGUCAGAUUACAACAGAGGAUGGCAUGCUCUGAGUGCAGCUCCAAUACGUGGCACGUGGCUGUAUCUUUUGUUCUUAAAUUACAUGACUCUUGAGACAAGAAAACCUGCCAGAAAUCAGCCUUUGGAUGAGGAAGGCCAGGUCCCAGCUGAACCAAGCAGCACAAGUAGGAACUAUACCAAAGAAGUGGGCUCACCCAGAGCAUUCAUUGAAGUGGUGCAGAGCAUUGGGCACAUGCUGGAUCUUCCACAAAGCUUGGAGAGCUGGGCAGCCUCCAUUCCUAUCAACAUCUUCCUCACCUUUCCUCCUGUGAAGAGACAAGGAACCACCAACACAACUGCAGAACCCCAUGGACUCCCGUAUCUGCACAAGGAGGAGACUGUGUGACCCUGAUCUUGGCCAGCAUAGCACAAGGCUCCCCAGCAGUCACCUGCUUGAACCUAACACAUCACGGUCAGCUUCUAGUGAUAAUACAGCAUUCCUUAAUUUUGAAAGCAAUUAUGGGUCUGAGUUCAGGUUUUUUUUUCCCCAGAUUAAAGUCAAUAAAACACUCGGACAUCCGGAUUCCAAUCACAUGCAUAUUACUAACUGUGAUAUUUGUAUCGCUGAUCCAGAAGCCAAUCACAACACUAACUCACUCUAUUGCUAAAAUAAGGAUAGCUUCCUCAUAAGCCAAAAUAACAGCCUGUUAUCCCUUCCAAAGCCACCGUUUUUCUGGCCUCGCAGGAACAAAGGAACAGGAGGUAGGCAAUACUCUUAUGGGGAAAGUAAACUAUCCCUCGCACAAGAAGCUUUUAAACCUAAGCACAUGUACUUGACAUACUCAUUUUCUGAAACUCUAUAUUUUCAUGUAUCCCUCCUCUUAUGACAUACCUCUUACAGUAUGUUGGAAUCAGUCCUGUCUUAUCAUCAUUGCCAUGGUUACCUUAUCAUCAUUACAGUAUAUAUGUGUUGCUAUAAUACUACUGUGGAUGUCAUAUCAAAAUUCCCUAAAGCAAAAUGAUCCCAGAACUUACUCUGUACACAUCUCAGGUUGCUAAGCAUUGAUAGCUUUAUUAUAUGUUUCCCAGCUAAAACAAAGUUAGCUUGUAUGCCUCUGCUGACAUACAGCUCUUUGUCCUUUCUGGUAGAAGGCAAAUUAUUCCAUGUAUCAUCUUCACUGUAAGCUACUUCCUUACAUCAAAUAAAAAUUCCACUCUUGACUGGAUAUCUCAGCAACCUGAUUUUCCUUUACUUAUAUUACUGUAUUACUAAAAUUCACAAGAAUGUUGAUACUGGAGGCAAGGAGCAUGUUAGUCAGUCAAGUUAAGCACUGUGAUAUUGCAGAUACAGAGGUCAUGAUACGAAGAUGUGGCACAGCUCAAAACCCAGGGCAGAGUAUAUACGGGCUUGGGAUAAAGAAAACCCUUUGCUAGGGUUGUGUGGCUGUGGGAUGAUCUUUCAGUGUAGAGUGGAGGAGCACAGAUGUUAACAUCUGGUUUUAAUCCAAAAUCUGUAUUACCCUCCAAUGUGCGCUGGGGACUAUGAAUGCAAAACUCUUAACAUAAGCAGAAUUCCUUAUGUGUAAUAAGGAUUUUGGUAAUGCGUUUGGCUCUAUGUGGAGGAUGCACAAGCCUUGUAUGUCACAGACUAGAUCUUGCCACAUGCUUCCACUCCUCUCUGGAUAGACUCACUCAUAGGAUGGAUUGCCCCUGCUUUUUUCAUGGCACUUUCCCACUGACGAGGUGUCUGGGGAAGCUGGGUACAGAUAUAACUUAAAUAUCUUUUACCUUCGGUGACUGAAUGCUCAUUCUUCUGAAAGACAAAAGCAAAGCCUUGACUGGAGAAGAGAAUGUGUACACACGUAAUUGUGCAUCUGUCUAUGUAACCAUGUUUUAUGUAUGGAAUCGCAAGAAAACAUGUCUAACUCAAAUGAUGAUUGAACUGAUACUCAACUAAGUUCUAACUACCAGAUUUUCCAUCGUGUUCAUCCUUAUAACAGCUCCUUACUACAUUCUCAAGCAGAGGCUUUGAAUAUGAGGCUAAGAGUACAGUGGAGUGAAGAAAGUGAUUCAUUACUGGGAAUAAAAAACCCAGUCUUCAUGGAUGAUACAUUGCCUAUAUACAUGAUUACAGGUUUAGAAACAAGAGGUUACCUACUGUUCCACGGCUGUAAUCAAAUAUUACCAGACUGAAGAAAAGCAAAUACACUCAAGAUUUUCAGGAGAAUUCUCAUGAUUAAGAAGAGUAAAAUCUUAAAUAAACAGAGGUAAAUAACAGAACAUUUGUGAUAGAGGAUAUGAUGGUAAUUGCAGCUGGGAAACUUUUCUUCUUUUCUUCUUAAGCUAAAGAUGACUGGGAAUUUUUUUUGGUAACUACAGGAGCAGUUAACUGGCCAUUUUUUAUGAGGAAAUGGAAACAAGGAUUCAAGGCCAUCGUGAAGACUAUGUAAGGUAAAACCUCUCCUCGUGUUCAAAUCAUAUGAUACUACCCAGAACUGAGAGGUAUCCUGUCAUCCCACUAUGCCUGCAUUCAUGGGGCGUGGAAAAAAGAGAUGAUUAUGUGGCAAAAUUGUCGUAGCACUAUAUGGGCUCUCUGGGGCAAGCUGGGGCAGCAGUGGGGGUGAGUGUGACAGGGCAGAUUUCCCCAUCAGCAGCAACUCUCCAUUCAUAAAAGCCCGAGUUUCUCAGGUGACACCUAUUUUCCUUUCUUUAGCCGUAGCAGACAGAUGUGCAGAUUGUGUGCUUAUGCCAAACAGUAUUCAAGGGUCCAUGCUGUCUGGAAAACUGCAUUCACACUGAAGCCAUAUUGUUCCCUCCCUGAAUUACAAGCUGGAUUCCCCAGCUGGUGAGCUGCUUUGCUGCAGGCUUGCGUAGGCCUGUGAGCCAACUUGGAUAAUAGCAGAGCUAUAACCAGGACUGUGAUCUCAGACCCUGACCCAGCGUGAAUUCUAAGCAUCGUUCCUCUUUCCUUAGUGUUAUACACUCAAUCUGCUGCUGCUUGGCAGGCUCUUAAAUCACAGUUCUCACACCCGAAUAGGCCAACUUCUGGCAGCCACUGCUGCACAAAUGGUAGCAUUGGAGAAGAAAAUCCUUACUACCUGAGUGUUUGAAGGCCUGAUGUGGAAAUAUCUGGAAGAACUGAACUUCUCCAUGAGCACUACUGAUUUCAUUAUUAUUUUUUAAUUCAUAUUUGUUGAAAACUAAUUCAGCCAGGGCAUUGGUGGCCUUUUUUGGUUGGUUGGUUGGUUGGUUUGGUUUGGUUUUUUGUUGUUUUGUUUUGUUUUAUUUGUUUUUUGCCACAAGCGUGCAUUGCUGGCUCCUUGUCAGUGUGGUGUGCACCAGAACCCUCAUGUCCUUCUAAGCAGAAUUACCUUCCAGUUAGUUGGAGCACAGCAUGUAGUGGCUCCCGGGGAUGUCCCUGCCCCAGGCCAGGACUUUGGUUUUCCCCUUGUUCCAGACGUUCUUCUCACCCCAUUUCUACACCCUGGGGAGGUUCUUCUGGAUGGCAGUACAGCCCUCUUCUCUAUGAGUACUGAGCACAUCAUUCAGCUGGUUUUCAAUCCACUUCUUCAACUUGAUGUAGUUUGUAAUUCCUGUUGGUAGCCACGUGACAGAGUCUGUGCUGCUCGCUGUUGUUGUGCAAGUCUCCACCCUUUUCCAACCAGGUCCAGACAGAGUGAGUUAGAUUGGUGAGUAACAUGCAGUCUGUCCUGGCUUCCUGGAAAAUAAGGUUUGUAACCUGAAUUAAAGAGCUCUGGUGAAUCGCACAACAUAGUAACUGAGUUAAAUGCAAAUUACAUCAACAUUUACGAAGUUUCAAAAAUGCAAGUGCUCUUAUAAAUGAACAGGAAUAGAAGUAAACUCAUUUUCCAGGUGUGCUAUUGGGCUUCAUCUGCAUCCUACUGUUUUGUACUAUCUGUGUAACAGGAUACAUAGGUUUACCCAGCUCUCAGUGGCACAAAGACAGGAAAGAGAGGCAGGUUCCCCAGUGGGAUUGGAGCCAGAUCCAGCCAUGAAAGUCCCUGCAGGAUGGGCUGUCAAAUAGAUGUAGAGAUCUUACACAACCAACCCAUUCCCAAUACAGAGAAAAUGGUUUCCGCAUUAUUCCUGAAAGUUACUUAAGAGGGCUCAGUUUUUUACUCUGUAACGUGCUCUGGAAUACCUUGGUGUGAUAUAUUUGAGCUCAUUUGUUAAAAUAAAGUACUUCAAAUACCGUAAAAUACUAAAUGCUUAGGCUGAGUCUCAUCUCUGUUCUUCCAUUCUAUAGUAUCAGGAACAUGGCUGCAGGAAAUCAGAAUGGCAAUGUGCAGCGCCAGCAUCAACAAGAAGCAGGUCAGCACAGUUUCACAAACAAUUGGGUGUAUUGGUGCUUUUGCCUUGGAAUUUGCUUUUUAAUCACCUUCAGCUUCAUAAAAUUAUAUAGAUACUUUGUUAUAUCUUCUUUUCCUCCUUCUAGAAGUAUAGAAACAUGUAGAAAGGAAGGGACUGAAAUGUGCCUGAAAAUUAUGCACAAAAUCUAGAAUUAUGAUUUUCCUUUGGGGGGGGGGGAAGGUUCCUAUCCCUAUUCAAAAAUAUGAGGAGGAAGUCACUGUGGAUAGUCAAUAGUUUUUGGAUUGGCUAAAGCUGAUGAGCGACCACCUGAGUGUGCCCUCAGCACUGAGUCCUGCAGCCUGAUGCACAUCUCACACGUGGCUGCAGUCCAUUGAGAUGGAUGGCCAUGCUUCUGGUCACUGCAUGGCAUGCUGGGGCUGUGCUCUGUACAGAUCCUACCUGCUUAUUAAAAAUGAAGGUAGCUGUAUUUUGUUCUGCUUUAAACAAAUCAGUGACCCUGAAUUUUCUAGCAAAUCCCCAGACGUGGUCUUCUGUGGAAAAAAAAAAUGGGUCUUUCUUGUGUUCAUUAAAAAUGAAAAAAAACUUAGCAGCUGGGAUAAUAGCAUUUGUCAGUUCCAUUUACAGGUUACUUAGCUCAGCUGAAUUAAUGUCUGCCAAAUGGGCAAAUCUGAAAUACUGCUUUUCCCUCAUCCCCUUUAAAAAACCCGUGUCAUAAGGCAUACUUAAAAAGCACAGGUAGAAGAUCAUCUCAGCUCUCCACUUUGACCCCUUGCAUUUACAGAAUUCCUUAUUAUAUCAUCCCCACCAUUAUCUUACCUAACAUAGUCAUAAUGAUCCAGAGAUUUUGAGUCAGACAAACAGUGGCCUGUCUUUGCUACUGCCUAAGUAUCC